AAGAACCCUGGGUCUGUGACCAGGACUCCUGCUCUUCUGCUGGGUGACAGGAAGUGGUGUCAAGGACUCCUCUUUUCUGCCUGCAGCCGCUGGCACUCUGACUGUGGUAGAAGACGGUCUAGAAGACUUUACACACAGGUAUUGGGUGACCAGAGCCUUGGGACCCAAAGACCCUCCCCUAAAAUCCUCCUCGGAUAGCGAAGACAAAAUUGGUUGCACAAAGCUUGCUCGAUCUCAUAUCCAGAAGCCGUCCUCCUUCUACCCAGAUGAACUGACCACGUCUGCCUGACUCCGUGUUCCCGGUUUCCACCGUGGCCUCAUUUCUGAAAAUGACACCAUCAGCUGGGGUCUAGAAAACUACUGCGGAAGGGUGCCUCCCCCUACCCCACCGGAUUAAAUACACAGUGACUCUGCAGAUCACACCUCUCAAAUACAGUGCUUCCCUGUU